GGAAGUAAAAGUCGUAACUAGGUUUCCGUAGGUGAACCUGCGGAAGGAUCAUUAUUGUAUAACCGAGGUGCGAGGGCUGUCGCUGACCCGAAAGGUCGUGCACGCCCGAGUGCCCUCACACACAUCUAUCUCACCCCUAUGUGCACCACCGCGUGGGUCCCCCUUUGGCUUGUUCGGAGGGGGGCUUACGUUUUCACACAAACUUUGUAUGCAGUGUAGAAUGUAUUUUUUGUUUUUGCGAUCACGCAAUCAAUACAACUUUCAACAACGGAUCUCUUGGCUCUC
rnacentral:misc_RNA from 1 species